ACAGAACGCCUCAGCCUCUCCUUAACCCCCACUGCUCCAUCUGCGCAUCCCGGCGCGUUUGCCAGCCACGCAUAACGUGAUUCAAUCUGAUCCCCGAGAUUUUCCACACAGGCCGGUAGGUAUCAGAGUCUGAGUUAUUUUCAGCCUGUCUGUGACAUCCAGUUCCACCCACGCGGCUCGCUUGGAUACAUAAAUGGUGGAGGUGUCUGCAAUAAGAGGCCCGGAGGAAACAUCCGUCAGCUCGGAAGGUUUGUGAGAGGAGGACGAGGCGCGCAGCUCCGUCUUACUGCGCCUUCCCCCGCCGGUAAGGAGGCGGAGCAGCACGGGGCUGUCACAUGGCCUGGCCGCCUGGGCACUCAGGUUCUCACGUUGCCUUCGUGGUUCAUUUGACCCGUGGAGGCAAAGCCUGCUCAGCAAUCAGGACGGCACCUUAGCCCUUAUCUUCGGAAGGAAACGGCUGCUUCUCUUCCUUCUUUCUUUGUAUUUUCACUGCAAAACGCCAUCUCUUCAUCAAAACCGCAGAGCUCGCUGUGCUGGGGCUGACGGGCUGCUCUGCUCGGAAACCUGUCCCUGUGCUCUCCAUCGUAGCGAAAACACGAGCGCACACAGCGGCACUCCCACGCACCGGGGGGGAACGGCGGGCGCCAUCUUGGAGCGCCGUACUCGCCGCGGGGCGGUGACGCAGAGGAGACGCGGCAGCGCGAAGGCGCGCGUCGCCAGGCUCAGCCCGGGGAGGCGGUAUCCCCUGGCGGCCGGAGGUCGGUACUACAUCGCUCUAGGCCUCGUGCGGGACGGCUCCGCGCCGCCGCCGCCAGGAGGCGCCCCCGGCCCGGCCAUGGAGAUGGCGACCGGGCGGAGGGCGGGGCCGGGUGCGCCGCCAUCAUCGCGGAUCGGGUCUGGGCGGGGGUCUCUUCCCUGUGGUGACAGUGGCAAGACCCGAGGGAAUGGCAUGGAGACGCGCCAGGGAAGGGUCAGGAGCCUAGGGCUGCAGUGCAGGAGGAUGGGAUAAACGAGGAAUUCACUCUUUCCACUUCUGUAGUCUUUUGAGUCGCGUUCCGAAUCGUAUCGAGCAGCUAUCUUUUGCAAAACCGCCUACUCUUUUAAAAUGAAAUCUAAACAGAGCUUGAAAAUAAAAGGUAAGUGUGGAGUUAAUCCAGUUUCCGCAGGUUUGUUCCCCACCACUGUGAAAAACAGGAUUUAUAGGAGGGUUGUAGGACGUGAGUGAGAGGAAAGCUCUAUAUUCAAGAAGUGAUCGACCUUGUAUUAGGUAAUGGAUGAUUGUAAGAACAAGGAAGCUUUCACAGGCGUUAAUAUUCUUGGUGGCAGCAGACUGAACUGGCAAAUACGUACACAGUUGGCAAAGCCUUGUAUGCAGUAGCAGAUCAUCUGAGUGGUACGGAGGGAAGAAGGAGGUGCGUAAGGACAUCCUCACAGGUUCUUCAUGUGCACGAGAGCUGGUCACCAGUGCCAAUGCAUUGUCUGUAUCUUUAAUGUUUUUUAUCUUUGAUGUGGGCUCGCCACCUGCUUGGAUGUGCUGUUUCUGCACUGAAGACACUGCUUAGGCUGCCUUGGGCUGCCAACUUGUCUCCAGAUCGUACAGAGGGAGUAAAUUCUACACAAACAGGAGCAGGGAGGAUCAAUGAAGAGUCUGUAUGCAAGUGCUACGUUAUGAAAGAUCAUGAGGAGAAGGGGUUCAGAAUGUGCCAGCAGAGCUGAGUGGGCUAAGUUUGUGUACUGCAUUUGGUGGAAGCUAAACAGAAAAUAGUCUGUGAACUGAAAUACGAAGGACAGAAAUACGAAGGAUUGUUAAGGACAACACAGGCUGAGCUGUCCAAACCAUGGAAGGCAUGGGCAGAGCUUUCCCUGGACCUGGAAAACUUCCUGAUGCACUGAAGUCUGAAGUCCGAAUCACGGGCACGCAAAGUCGCUGUGCAAUAGAAUGAACCAGGAAGCUUUUAGUGGGCGGCUUAUCCUGGAACAGUUCACCGAAUGUGAUAUCUCUUUGAACAGGUAUUUAUUUCACAGGCGCUUUUUUGCUGCUGUGUAGCUCAUACUUACUUAAAGGGGGAAAUAGCUGGAUGACCAACUAGUUCUUCAAAAGAUACUACCUAAGUUCAAACAAAUGACACUCAGAGUAAAUAUAGAGAUCCCACAGAGCUCCGGUGACUGCUGAUUUUGAUUUGGUUAGAAAGGUGCCAAAAUCAGAGUCUGGAGAUACUUAGCCCUGUUUUUUGCAGUCUGCCAUGGUACCUAAUUACUGUUUCUGAUAUUAUCAUCUGCUUUAACACACAAAUUCCCUCAAACAGCGGUAGUCCCUAAUAUAUCCCUCUUAUAUUCCCAUCUUCUUGGCCACAUAUUGCUUACCGUGCUAAGUGCUAAAUGGCUUUUGGAAAGUGCUAAGAGGGUGCUGUGAAAGGGCUAAUCUGAGUUUCACAAACAACUGCCUGAACAGAGAAACAGUGUUAUUAGGGAGGGUAGUCCCAGCAGGCCGGUGUGGGCUUAUUCUGACAAAUCUGAAGAGCCGAACUUCACGGUCGUGUUCUUAGGAUGUUUUAAAUGAGACGUUCUCACCUUGCAGAAAUGAAGUUUUUUUGUUCCUAACUGAAAUAAAACAACUGGAUACUUCAUCAGAAAUAUUCAACAGGAUCAGUAUGUUCCAGGUCAAGUUCAUCUACUCUGCCAUUUCUACCAGAAACCAGCUCGGCACUCGAUAAUUCUUAGAAUGGAAGAACGAUUCUUGGAAGAUGAUGGGAACAAAGCCCCAGAGCUAGAAAAGGAACAUUGUUUCUUAAGCUCCAGCCAAUCUCAGGAAAACAAAAACCAACCCAGCCACAAAGGUACCAGAUCUGCACGACAAUUCAGAUGUUCCUUGACGAAACACAACUGUGUGGGCAUUUGCAGAAAGAGAGUAAAACAGAUCAAUAUUUGUUAUCUUCUUCAACGUGCGGCAGCACGUCGGGGCCGGUGUAUGAGCUUCAGCCUGCGAGUGGAAGGGCAGCGUCACAAUAGCAGAAGCCACUUAAUUGCAAGAGAGUCUCAAAAAUGCUGUGUGCACAGUCUUUCUGAAGAGUCAGUUCCCUGGGUGAAACAGCUCGGUCUGUGGUCUUGCGUUGUUUCUCUGCUUGUGUAUCAAAGUGCUUAACUGUUGGAAGAGGCACUCCCUUGAAUUGUGAUCACAAGGCACCUCUUUGACGCGUCAGUCACUGUCACUUAGGGGAUCUCAGCUCUGUUGGGCUACAGCAAAGCUUUUCAGUCUAGUGAGUGCUGGUGUGGACUGGUUUCUGGCCUUAGUGAGCAGUCACACUACUGCUAAUGGGUGAAGUUAACUCUAAUCCAGAAGGUCCGAAAAAGACCUGUUUUCAGUUAGUGAGUAUUUUGUUAAUUCUAUGGGGUGCUUCAGAUAGGAUCAUUUUCUGCGUGAAAGAGAUGUAGUAUCAUGAACAUUGAUGGCUGCUUUGCUAACUUUUAGUUUUCCAGUUUUUGCAGUUAGAUUACUACAGGUUAGGUGCUACUUAAUGUGGUUAAAUCAGUGGAAUGAAUUGCUUCUUUUUUCUUUUUUGCUCUAGCAACAUACUUCGAAAGCACUUAUUCCCUUAAGAAUAAUAGCAUCUGUAGCUGUUUUACCUAACUAUUGGAGUUCUGAAAUGUGUUUAUUACAAAAAAAAAGAAAAAAAAAAAAAAAAGGAGGGGGGGGGUUGGCCACAGAGCAUGUUUUAUCUCUCAUCUAGUAGUCAUCAUCUGUAGGCCUGUAAGUUAUUCAUAAGGAAAGAUAGUUUAAGUUAUUAUAAGGAAAAGCCAGGAUUGUGAUCUCAUUUUUUGAUUGGAGGUGCUGUGACGCAGGGGCAGGUGAAAUGGUUUCCCCACAGUGUCAUGCCUUGAGUUGUGCCAGGGGAGGUUCAGGUUGGAUAUUAGGAAAAAUGUCUUAGGAAGAGUGGUGAGGUGUUGGUGCAGGCCGCCCAGGGGGGUGGUGCAGUCACCGUCCCUGGAGGUAUUAGAAAUGCGUGGGCGUGGCACUGAGGGAUGUGGUUAGAGGGCAUGGUGGGGAUGGGCUGAUAGUUAGACUAGAUGAUUUCAGAUGUCUUUUCCAACCUUUAUGAUUCUAUGUGGCAUGUGCAAUAGGUCCCAGUUCCUACUACAUGCCCAGCAAAGUCCCCGGCCCACUGAGCCAUUCACUCCUCCACUGCACUAUUUCAUCUGCUUCCCUACUCCACAGCAAAGAGCAUAAUUCAGGUUUCUUGCAUCCUUCCAGCUACAGGUCUGCUACAGAGGAUGCUGCUUCCUAAGUGAUAAUGGAGUUCCAUAAAGCAUCCCAGAUUGACAACUUUUACUAGAACCUUAUGUUUCUUGAUUGUUUUAAAAGACAAAUAUAUAUCUUCUACUCCCACGUCAUGUAGAAGGAAAGACGCGUUACUAUCUAAAUGUGGCCAUUGAAGGAUAGCAAAACCUUGUUUGCCACUCAGCAUUGGCUAUACUUUCCUUCUCCAAGUUGAGAAAUGGUGAAGAGCUCAGCGGGUUCUAAAAUUGUUCUGUGUUUCUGAUCGUUUUGUUUCCUUAAUUAAAUUCAAAACUCCAGUAUUCAGAGAAACUGCAGACAGCUCCGGGGAGAACUGAAAAAGUGGAGGAAAAUUUUGUCAAUUUUUAUUUCCAGUUAAAUCAUAACAGAGACUGGUGGCUACGGAAACACAAUAUGUCCACAUGGAUGUAGUCAAGGCACAAGAGACUAAAAGUAGAGACUCUCUGCACUGGUCAGAGCUUAGGCACUUUUUAUUGUUCCCUGGAAACCUCAUGGGGUCUCCUCACCAAGAUGUUCAGAAACAGCUUCAGAAGAGGCUGGGGACUUAAUUCAUGGCCUUUUUGCACCAGCUGCCACAGUGUUUCUCUCUAAUUUGGUAGAUAGAAGGAAGUUGCUCUGCCCUUACUGUCAAACUAAAUAUUGCCAUCUCCAGGCUUUGUAACAAAAUAAAUCAUCUUGUCUUCAUUUCUGGGGUGGCACAAUUCAAUUGUGGCCACCCUGGGCAUAUGCCUUGGGCUUGUUUCCAUCUUUAUCCAACAUUAUCUUUCCACUGGCAGGCCUGAGCAAACCUACAGUAUCCCUGAUGAAGUUUGUCACAACGCGUUGAACGACACUGUAAAUGGCAACGGUUUUCAUUACUACAGUCUUUGAUGUGAAGCAGAAACGUCGUCUUGUCCUGCUCCCAGUGGUCAGUGAAAACAUUUCGUUUUGAUAAGCCAACAAUGACCGUACUAUUCUGCAGCCUCACCUUUCUUAAACAAUUCUGAAUCUUUCUUCACAGGAUAUGCUUUCAAAACCUCUUCUCAGAUUUGUUGCUCAGCUCUGAAAUCUUUGGUUUGUGUACAGCCCUCCUGUGUGAGGAGGAGCAAAACAGCUACCUGAUGUGUCUCACACCCAACGACCAGCAUUAGCUUUGCCUUUUUUUGGAACAGCGUCAUACUGUUGACUCCUAUUCAGUCCGUGGCUCACACCCCGAGCUGCCUUUCUGCCGUGCUGCUGUCUGGCCAUUUAUUCCCCAUUUUCUCUUUGUGCUUUUGAUUUCCUUCUCUUAAGUGUAGCACUUUGUACUUUUCUUUACUGAGUCGUUGAUUUUCUCCAAUUUAGCGAGAUCAUUUUGAAUUCUCAGUCCAUCCGCCAAACUGUUUGCAUCCUCUCCCAGCUAGAUGAUGUCUGCAGAUUUUAUGAGUACUCUUUAUUCCCUCGUCACAGGUUGUUAAUGAAAAUACUGCAUCAAAUGGAUCCACACAGAUGUUGGGAGGGCCCGGUUGAAAAUUCUUCUCAGUACAACAAGGAACAAUUGAUAAAUGUUUCUAAAGGUAUCUUUGUAAUGAGUCAUGCACCUAUUUUUGAGGAUUUCAUCUUAACCGUGUUUUCUUUGUUUGCUAAGGAGAAUGUCACGUGGAGUGGUGUGAAAACCGUGUAACAAUCAAGACUGUUACCUCUUACCUAUGAAGAAGGGCAUGUGGAACCUGAUUUAACACAGAUAUAGGCUUGAACAAUUCUAUCAGUUUCCAAUCUUCAUUUCAAUCACUGCAAUUUUGUGUGUAACCAUAACCUCAGUAAUUGUCUUCUGUAUCUCAGUGAUUAAAGCUCAUUCAGUAUUCAGCCAAGUUUCAAGAAGACGUUUUCUUUCCUUGCUAAGACAAUAUGUAGACAGAAAUCAGAGACUUUUAACGGUCCCAGAUUCAGUGAGGGAGAUGUUGGCACCGUCUAACACCCAUAUAGCUGUGAUAAACUCCUUUGCAAAAACAUGACAAUGUAGGUUGAUUCUUGAAGAUAUUUCCUCACUUUGUAGAAUCCCCAUUCAAGGAAGCACACUAAUGCGUGCUAAUAGUUGUGUAUGAUUUUAAUUUAUGUACUAUUCUGUAGUAGUAUGAAAUUCCUGAUGCAAUCAGUAUCAUUGCAAAAAAUAAAGCUGUUCUUACAAAUGAGUUACAAAUCCUCAUUAGCCAUCAGAUGUUACAUUAGACAAGCAUUUGCUGUAUCCUCAAUAUAUUAUGCAGCUUUUAGUGCUGUUUAUUGGUCACCUCUGUCCUUAACAGCCUCCAUCACCUUAGUAUUUAAGCAACUUGAUCCUGUAUGCCCUAGUGUUGAACAAUGGCCUACCUCUAAGAGAUGCUUUUCUUUUUAGGGAAACUAGUACAUCAUCUCAAGGAAUGAAUGGUUAUGAUUCUAUAACACUGGAAGUGACUAAUCCCAUGUUGUAAAUGGAAUAAAGGGAAAUGGAAUGUAUUUUGAGAACAAACAGUAAUCAUUGACACAGUAAUUUGCAUCCCUAGAUAUUAUAAUAAUGACUAAGUAUCACUUCC
rnacentral:lncRNA from 1 species